CAUCUUUUCUAGUAUUUUUAUUUGAAAUCUAACCUGCCCAAUGAUUUAUUUAAAUGGCCGCGGUAUUUUGACCGUGCAAAGGUAGCAUAAUCAUUAGUUUAUUAAUUGUAGACUUGUAUGAAUGGUUGGACGAAAUAUUAACUGUCUCAUAAUUAUAAUUAUAAUUUAAAUUUUGAGUUAAAAUGCUUAAAUUUUUUUAUAGGACGAGAAGACCCUAUAGAUCUUUAUUUUUAAUUUUUUUAUAUUUUUUGGUUUAAUUUUUUAUAAAUAUUUUAAUUGUUUUGUUGGGGUGAUAUUUAUAUAUGAUUAACUAUUUAUUAUUUAUUUUCAAUUAUUUUUGUAUAUUUGACCUUUUAUUAUUGUUAUAAGAUUUAGAUACCUUAGGGAUAACAGCGUAAUUCUUUUUGAGAGUUCUUAUCGACAAGAGAGAUUGCGACCUCGAUGUUGGAUUAAGAAUAUAGUUAGGUGUAGGUGCUUAAUUGUUAAGUCUGUUCGACUUUUAAAUUCUUAC
rnacentral:rRNA from 1 species